rnacentral:rRNA from 1 species
GACGAACGCUGGCGGCGUGCCUAAUACAUGCAAGUCGAACGAAGCUGUUUUAACUGGUGCUUGCACCGACUUAAACAACUGAGUGGCGAACGGGUGAGUAACACGUGGGUAACCUGCCCCAAAGCGGGGGAUACCAUUUGGAAACAGAUGCUAAUACCGCAUAACCACAGAAACCACAUGGUUUCUGUGUCAAAGAUGGUUUCGGCUAUAACUUUGGGAUGGACCCGCGGCGUAUUAGCUAGUUGGUAAGGUAAUGGCUUACCAAGGCAAUGAGACGUAGCCGAACUGAGAGGUUGAUCGGCCACAUUGGGACUGAGACACGGCCCAAACUCCUACGGGAGGCAGCAGUAGGGAAUCUUCCACAAUGGACGAAAGUCUGAUGGAGCAACGCCGCGUGAGUGAAGAAGGUUUUCGGAUCGUAAAACUCUGUUGUCAGAGAAGAACGUGUGCGAGAGUAACUGUUCGUGCAGUGACGGUAUCUGGCCAGAAAGCCACGGCUAACUACGUGCCAGCCGCCGCUGUAA